GCCUGGCAAAUGUGCUGCUGUUUCUCCUUGGUGCCAGACGUACCCUGUUCAACACAACUGACGCAGCUGUUUCGGACAUAACAAAAAGGUGGCUCAUGUUCGCUGUGGAUCAAGAAGGUGCACUUAUGCAAAGACGGCGUGCCACCUUGAUGAAAUACUCCAACAGAAGCCCAAGCAACACUUUAUAAUCACAAGAGUUCAGGAAGGAAUAUAAAAAUGGCGUAUUGCCUUGUAUAUAUUCAGUGUAAAAUAAACCUGAAGCACCA
rnacentral:lncRNA from 1 species